GAUAGGAUUGUGAUUUGUUGUGUAAUAGGUUUAGAAUUGUGAUUUGGUUGUGUUGAAUUGAUUUAGAAUUUUUUUAUAAAUUUUUUAUUAUUUUUGUAUUUACAAAACGUUUUUCUAUAUAAAUUCGAUUUUACAAAACGUUUUUUGUAUAUAAAUUCGAUUUUCGGAUUUAUAAAAGAUGAUUUCAUAUUUAUAAAAAUAUUUAUAUUUAUUAAAACUAAUUUUGUAUUUAUAAAACAUUUUUUUGAUUUAUAAACACUAUUUUUUUUAUUUUUGUAUUUAUAAAAACUAUUUUUAAAUAUAAAAAACGUUUUUUGUAUAUAAAUUCGAUUUUUGGAUUUAUAAAAGAUGAUUUCAUAUUUUAAAACUAAUUUUGUAUUUAUAAAACAUUUUUUGAUUUAUAAACACUAUUUUAUUAUUUUUUGUAUUUAUAAAAGCUAUUUUGUAUUUAUAAAAAGAUGAUUUCAUAUCUAUAAAAAUAUUUAUAUUUAUAAAACUAAUUUUGUAUUUAUAAAACAUUUUGUUGAUUUAUAAAUACUAUUUUAUUAUUUUUUGUAUUUAUAAAAACUAUU
rnacentral:lncRNA from 1 species